rnacentral:lncRNA from 10 species
GUUUGCAGAGAAAGUUUAAUGAUCAUAGUGCAUCAAGUGAGGAGAUGGGAGGAGACCCUCAAAUGCAUCUCCCUGAGGAGUUCUGAGCUGGGGUUUUUAAGAGGACUGUGGAGGGUGAGGGGUUGGAAAAUUAGGGUUGUUGAUUGGAUGGGGUAUGGGGGAUGAAAUCAUCAGGAUGUAGAAACUGUUCUUUUGAGUCAGCUCCUCAUGGGGUCCUUAAGACCAGCUGAGUCAGUAGCUGCAUCAGUAUACAGGACCUGAAGCAGUCUCCCAAAAGGAAAACGUAACUUGAACAUCAUGAAACUCUAUCUAUAGAGCAGUUAAGGGAAACUACAGGGUCUACACGACUACAGCACAACAGGCACUAUGCAGCUCAGAAGAAGCGUCAGAGAGCAGCUGACCUCAUGAUGAACGCCGAGUGGGCUGCAAGCUGGGCAUAUUUUGUUUCUCCCUUCUCUUCUUCCCUCAUUAAUUUAUCAAGUUUAUAGGAACUGUUUCAGGCCGGUCACACUUCUCAAUGGAUUUGAGGAAGCCAGUAUUACCUGGAGAUCAAAGCUAGAAAGAGAGCACAAACACAAAAAAACACUAAGUUCUUGAGAGAUGUUAGUCUACAGAUAUAAAAAUUCUCACAACAUUAACAAAUGCAACCCAACAAUGCACAAAGAAUAGUAUCCCAUGAUCAAGUGGUAUUUAC